UGGGGAAUAUUGCAAAAUGGGGGAAAACCCUGAUGCAGCGACGCCGCGUGAAGGAAGAAGUAUCUCGGUAUGUAAACUUCUAUCAGCAGGGAAGAUAGUGACGGUACCUGACUAAGAAGCCCCGGCUAACUACGUGCC
rnacentral:rRNA from 1 species